ACACACUUGUUGUGUGUAUUUCUUGGAGAACAGGGUGAGCCUAGCAGUGAUGACUAAUAUCUUUCUACUAACCAGGAAAAUGUGAAAGUGGGUCUUACCAAGGUGCCACAAUGCAGACCAUCGAACUUCACUGUCUAGGUGAGUGAGAAUGGUGUCCCUAACAUUUGUGUUCCUGUCUUUUUUUGCAGGCGUGAGGUUCAGAGAUGAUGUGAUAUUCGCUGAUUAAAGACAUUCUUAUAUACAGAUGGCUACAUAACUCAUGAUUUUAGUCUUUUAUGUUCACUUUGUUUUUGACAUGUAAUCAGGAAUUUAAUUUUCCCUAAGAACUCUAGUCAGAAGGAGAUUUUUUCGUAUUUUGUGUAAAGGUAAAUUGUAUCAAGCAUCGUAGUGAUGGACAGGUUUGCAGAGGUGACAUCGCUAGUGUCAAGGUCAGUGAUGAUGGAGCCUAAACCAGAGCACAGGCCAUCGGAUCUCCAGGUAUCUGAGUAAGUGAUGAUGUUUAUUCUUAUUACCACAAUUUUUUUUCAGGCAUCAGGGUGAAAAAUAAUAGAGUCCUUAUCAAUCUAGAAAACAAUAGUUUUCAUUUUAUAUUUUAGAAAGAGUUGAGCACUCUUUGGUGUUGAGUGAUUGCACAUAUGCAGAUAUUUAAUAUGGUUUUCCCACUACAGUACUGCCAUAGUUUUGUUUUCUUUUUAAACAGUUGUCCAGUCAAGAAACUCUGGCUUCCCAACCUUGGUGUUGACCUUGGAUUAGUGAAAGUAUCCAGGUAGAGUUGAUGUGUCUCAUAAUGGUGAUGUGAUCAAGGUGUCUGGACAGAAAGGAUACAUCUUGUGUAUUUUCCAGGUUCCUGUCCAGAUAUCACUCUGAAACAAGGAUUGAUGUUAAUGGUGGCCACUGUUGGGGUCCAGGUUCCUGUCAAGAGAGAGACAUUCUGGUGGUUGUUCUCUGGGGACAUUUCUGUGCCCAGGUAUGUAAUGAUGUGCACCUUCCCCUAACAGACAUCUCAUCUUCUCAUAUCUAGGUCAGUGUUAGGAUUGAAUAAACUUAUUUACCAUGUGUUUUAUUUUCAAGAAGUCAGGUAAGAAAUCAUAGUAUGUUUACCAGUUGUAGCAAUCCUGAUAUGCUACUGUCUGUGAUCUUAGAGAAAAUGUAUGCUUAGUCAUGGGAGUGUUGAGUGGCUGGUGGGUAUCCACACCAUGACAAUGGAAUUGUGUGGUACACUAGUAACCAUGGUGCUUUGGCAAGUAAGCUGGGAAGAGAUGAUGCUAUGUCGAAAUUUGGCAUAGAUCUUGGAGUCCUACAUGAAUCCAGGGAGAACCGAUGGGUCCUGCAGUGAUGGCCACCCAUAAGGCUGUUUGAAAUUUCCUGGUAGAAAAGGUACGUCCAUAGACAUAUCUGUCACAAAGGGCUUUUUACAGUCUGGUCAAGAAGUCAUGGUGAAUCUCAAAAUGAUCUUGAAUGGAACUUUGCUUCUCUCCAGAUAAGUGUUGCUAUGGCAUUUAGCACCUAUAAUAUGAUCUUCAGAUAUGUAGGUCUGAGGGAGGGUGUUCCUAAUUAUUCUGUUACCAUCUUGUUUUAUUUAAGCAGCUAUUCAUUUAAGAAGUGGCAUUUUCCAUCACAACCUUGUAGAUCAACUAUAGUUCAGUAAAACUUUAAAAAAUGGGGAAAAAAAAGAAAUUGACGUAGUCACAACUAGUGCUUGUAAGUAUUUGCCUUUUUUUUUUUUUUUUAAAGAUUUUUGAUAUAGUGUGUAUUUAAACUUAGUAGUAACAGAGGGUUAUUCAGGUCCAGGUAAUUUAUUCUACUUUUGCAGUGUUAACCAUGACAUUUCUACAGAUUCUCCUAGAAGAGAUGAUACUGUGCCUCACAAUGGUGUUGACCUUAAAGUUCUUCCAAGGUUCAUAUAGUGCAUACGCUCCUCUAAUGAUGGAAGCAAGCAAGAUUAUCUUCAAAGGUACUUAUUUGGCAGAUAAAUAAGAAUGUCCUUUAACACAGUUGUCUAAUGCAUUUCUCAAGGUUCUAGUCAGCAUCGUGAAUAUAAUUAACCAAAUAAUAGUUGUCAGUGGGACCUUGUUAGAAACCAGGUUGGUGAAAAGGUGGCUUCCAGCCCAGUACAGAUCAUUAGAUGUUCAGUUAUCGAGCACGUAAGAAUGGUGUCUAACACAGUGCACCACACUUUUUUGUAGGUUUCCCAUUACUUUCUUUGUCUAGUGUACAGGUAUGAGAUGAUGUGACAUUAAUUCAUUAGAUACCAUCUUUUCUUCAGAUACGUAGGUAGUGAUGUUGACCUUGAAGAUCUUUCAAGAUCCACAGAGUAUCAAGGAUUCCCCUGAUGAUAGAAAAAUAACCAGAAGUAAUUACGUGUAUUCUUCAGGUAAAACAUUUUUUUCCUUAAAACCCUUGUCAGUUGUGUUCUUACAUGUUAUAGUAGUGAUGACCCUAUAGCAGACCUAGGAAUGGUCAUCAAUGGGACCCUGCUAGUAACCAGGUAAGUGAUAUUGAGGGUCUUGCAGCCCAGUAUAGACCAUCUGGUCUUCAGAGAUGUCUGUGUAAGUGAGGAUGAUGUCCCCAACACCAGACACAGUGAUACUGUGUUUUUUCCUGCAGGUACCCUGUUAAAGUGUUUGCUAGUAUGAAGGUAUUUUCAGAUAAAUAAGGAAUAAAUGAUAUUUUGCAGACACUUUAUAGUUUAUCUUACACUUAACUAUAUUAACUAUAUUUUUGGCUUGUAUGCAGUAAAGCUAUUAAUCUGUCAUUAACAUACUCGUAAGCAUGAUAUUUUCCUACAUUCGAGUUCCAAAAUACCAUUUUACCCACCUCUACUGACAAAAGGAUAUGCAGAUAUCCAGGAAAUUUAUCAUACUGUUCAUCACCGCAAUAUAGACCGUAGAAUUUCGAGGUAGCCUUUCAAGAGAAGAAGGCAUCUCUUACUAAGAUUUAGUCCAGGUAAUGGCGAUGAGUCUCACAGUUAUGCAGUGGAACAAAGGGAUCUGAAGGUGGACACUAGAAUGAUAUGUACUUCAAGCACAUCCUCUAAAUGCGUCUUCGGGUUCGUGAUGGUAAGCAUCUCAAUGUAGUUAAAGUUGCUGGUAUCUAGGUGAGUGAUGGUGUGGGCCUAACCCACAUCAUAGACCAUCUCUGCCUCAUGUAUGUGGGUAAGUGAAUAUGCUUGCCUUCCUAACACUUCUUCUUAAAAAGAUUUUUUUGCAGGUAUUCAGCUGAGAAAUACUAAGAGUUCAUACUAAUUCCAAUAACCAUGAGUUUACGCUUUGUGUAUUUUAGUGAAAAUAUGUUUUAUCUUGUAAGUAUUGAGGAGUCAGUUAUGUUCCCAGUAGUUGUUGUGAAGUCUCCUCACUGUUGUAACCAUUGGAUUUUUACAGGAAUCCAGGAAAGUGAUACUGAUCUCUUCUGACAGCAGUGUUGACCUCGAAUGAAUGCAGAGAUCCAGGUAGCAAUGAUGUGUUCCAUGAUAACGGAGGUGCACACGGUUAGAUGCAGGUGUCCUGGUAGAACAGUGUUUGUCUUACACAGAUUUGUUGCAUGUAUUUCUUCAGGAUCCUGUUAAGACAACAGGGUAAACCUAGCAGUGUGAUGACUAACAAAAGCUUUCUAGUAACCAGGUAAGUGUGAAAGUGGGUCUCACCACAGUGCACACCAUCUGAACUUCAGGGUCUAGGUGAAUGAGGAUGGUGUCCCUAAUAUUUGUGUUCAUGUCUUCUUUUUGCAGGUGUCAGGUUCAGAUCUUUCCUUGUCACACAAGGAUGAGAUGAGGGGAUAUUCACUAAUUAAAGACAUUGUUAUAUUCCGAUGGCUACGUGAUUCAUGAUCAGUCUUUUAUAUUUACUUUGUUUUUGGCAUGUUAUCAGAUUUGGCUUUCCAACAUUGGUAUUGACCUUGAAUUACUGCAAGUAACCAGGUAGAGUUGAUGUGUCUCAUAAUGGUGACGUGACCAAGAUGUGUAGGUAGAAAGGACACAUUUCCUAUCUUUUACAGGUUUGUGUCCACACAUCACUCUGAACUGAGCAUUAAUGUUAACAGGGGACACGGUCGGGGUCCAGGUUUGUGAUGAUUGUGACCCUGUCACUUGUUACCAUGGCUUCUCUGCAGGUAUUCAGGUAAUGGUUGAUUCCUUACCAAUUCUUAAUACCAUGAACUUUCAGUUUUCAUGCUUUAGAGAAUAUCUUUAACUCUGUGACUCAUGAGCAAUUACACAUAGCAGGUAUUGAUUAUGAUUGCUCAAGCACAGUAGUGAUCAUGGAAUUUCUGCAGGUAUCUUGUAAAGAAGUGUUAUUUCCUGACAAGGGUCAUGCCCUAGGAGAACUGCAAAUAUUCAAGUAGAGUUGAUCAUAAUGCUGUCAAUGACGGAGCUUGUUUGCAAGUGUCCUAGUAGAGUAAGCUAUGUCCUUUUAUACGUGUAUCAUAAUGUGCUUUUCAGGUUCUGCCAAGAGAUGAAUAUUCAUUCUGAUGGUCAUUCUCUGGGGACAUUUCUUUGUCUGGGUAGGUAAUGAUGUGCACCUUUCCCAGCAGACAUUGCAUCUUCUCAUAUCUAGGUCUCUGUUCGGAUUGACUAAAUUUACUUAUCAUGUGGAUUUUUUCAGGUAAUCAGAUAAGAAAUGAUAGUAUUUUUACCAAUGGUAGCAAUCCUGAUAUGCUGCUGUUUGCAAUUUUAGAAAAAAAAAUGUAUGCUUACUCAUGGGAGUGUUCAUUGGCUCUUGAAUAUCCACAUCAUGAUGGUGGAAUUGUGUGGCACAGCAGUAACCAUGGUGCUUUUGCCAGGGGGCUGGGAGGAGAUGCUGGCGUGUCGAACUUUGGCAUAAAGCUUGGAGUCCUGCAUGAAGCCAGAGAGAACCGAUGGGUCCUGCAGUGAUGGCUACACACAGGGUUAUUUGAAGAGUCCUAGUAGAAAUUGUGCCUCCAUACACAUAACUGUCACAAGGGGCUCUUUGCAUUCUAGUCAAGAAAUCACAGUGAAUCUGAAAAUGAUCCUGAAUAGGCCUUUGAUGUCUCCAGAUAUUCAUUUCAGAAAUUAAUCACAAACUUGUCAGAUUCCCUGUUGUGGCUCAGUGGUAAUGAACCUGACUAGUAUACAUGAGGACUCAUGUUCGGUCCCUGGCCUCGCUCAGUGGGUUAAGGAUCCGGCGUUGCUAUGGUGAGCUACAGUGUAGGUCGCAGACAUGGCUCGGAUCUGUCAUUGCUGUGGCUGUGGCUUAGGCUGGUGGCUGUAGCUCCAGUUUGAGCCCUAGCCUGAGAACUAUGCUGUGGUUGUGGACCUAAAAAGACCAAGAAAAAAAAA
rnacentral:lncRNA from 1 species